GCUUCGGCUGUCACUUUAGGAUGGACCCGCGGCGCAUUAGCUUGUUGGUAAGGUAACGGCUUACCAAGGCGAUGAUACGUAGCCGACCUGAGAGGGUAAUCGGCCACAUUGGGACUGAGACACGGCCCAAACUCCUACGGGAGGCAGCAGUAGGGAAUCUUCCACAAUGGACGAAAGUCUGAUGGAGCAACGCCGCGUGAGUGAUGAAGGGUUUCGGCUCGUAAAACUCUGUUGUUGGAGAAGAACAGGUGUCAGAGUAACUGUUGACAUCUUGACGGUAUCCAACCAGAAAGCCACGGCUAACUACGUGCCAGCAGCCGCGGUAAUACGUAGGUGGCAAGCGUUGUCCGGAUUUAUUGGGCGUAAAGCGAGCGCAGGCGGUUUUUUAGGUCUGAUGUGAAAGCCUUCGGCUUAACCGGAGAAGUGCAUCGGAAACCGGGAGACUUGAGUGCAGAAGAGGACAGUGGAACUCCAUGUGUAGCGGUGAAAUGCGUAGAUAUAUGGAAGAACACCAGUGGCGAAGGCGGCUGUCUGGUCUGUAACUGACGCCGAGGCUCGAAAGCAUGGGUAGCGAACAGGAUUAGAUACCCUGGUAGUCCAUGCCGUAAACGAUGAGUGCUAAG
rnacentral:rRNA from 1 species